AGGUAGGCCGCCCUCGGUUGCCAAGGCGACGCCUAGGCUUGAGGUUCCAGCGCAGGGGCUGCUCGUCAGGCGCCUCUCUCUCCCUUUGGCCAUGGCUCCGAAGCGGCCCAAGAGCGGAGGCGGCGGGGGGACCCCUGCGACCCCAACGACUGGCUCAAAAAACUGGGAAGCCGGGCUGGUGGCUGCCCGCUUGGAAGAGGAAAAUUGGAGUCCCAGUAUUGCCUUUGUUUUGGGGAGCCAGCCUGAGGAUGAACUCCAUAUAAAGGCUCUGUCUCUUGCUGUGAAAGUGCCACAGAGGAGGCUUUUCAGUGUGGUAUCAUGGGAAGGAAUAUUAUCACAGAUCAUGGAAACUGCAGUUGCAGAAGUAAAAGUAAAAAAGACAAAAGAAAAAGAAAAAGAAAAAGAAACACCCUUGUAUUAUGAGGUACUAGAAGCAGCAAAAAAUAUUAUAGAUUCUGGGGAACAGCUUCCUAUAACUCUAAUUGGAAAGUUAAUUAAAUAUCAGAUGCUUUGCAUCAAGCAAAAAGACAUGCAAAGAAGAGCUGCUGAAAAGAAGAUAGGUGAAGACCAAGACAAGGUAAAAGAAGAGAAAGGGAAAGGAAAACCUAGCAAAAAAGAGAAGCCUCCUAGUGCCAAGUCUGGUGGAAAAGGAGGGAAAGGAAAGAAGGCAUCUGAAUCACAAAAUAUAUCUGCAAGUACAGUUAAAAAAGACACCGAGCUUAAGCGACGUGGAGAAGAUGAUGAUCUUGAUAAGUAUAUUGAUGAUGAACCGGAUGAUGGUGCUCAGUAUUAUUUCAUAGUGUGUGGAUUUUACUCUCCCCAACUUUUGCCUAUACUAUCUGAUCUUGGGGUCAAUAUUGGAAGUGUCAUUAAAAUAUCUUCUGAUAAUUAUGGACCACUCAAGACCCAUCUGGGAGCAACUGCCCAACAAGAAGAACUUGUCCUUGGAGGAGAAGUUGUGGAAACAGAAAAGAAGAAGAAGAAGGAAAAAGUGGUUAAGGACAUGGAAAUUUUCUGGAAAUACUUGGAACCAAUUUUGAACAAUGGGAAACCAGGAUCAAAUCUCUUUCAGAUUGCUAGACUCCAGCACACAGUCCAUGAGUCUAUCUUCCCUGCAGAUUGGAGUAAUAAUGAUAUGAUGCUUGAAUUUGGAACAGAAAUCUUUGAAAAUGUGGCAUGUUUGAUGUAUGACUGUCUGGACUGGAAAAGACAACAUCAGCACUACCUGAAAUCCACCCGAUUGAUUAAUGUCCCUGUAGUAGAAAAGAAAGGCAAAUUACCAGCUGAGAUACCAAUUGUUGUUCCAACUACUCCUGGAAAGAAAAAACAUGCCGUCGAAGAGCCUGUUGCAGUACCAGUAUUAACUACAGAUGUGGAUAUGCGAUAUUACAAUGAUCUUCUGAGUCCAGUUCCUGAAGAAGUUGUUUCUGUUGCGUUGAUAUUGGAUUGCAUGCUACAGCAGAUCAUUGCAUCAGAAGAAAACCUUACGCCACCAAGUUUGGUGAUUCAAGAGCCACGUGAAGAUGGGCUGGAUCAUACUGUUGCAAGUCAUAUUGCUUCAAUUUUGCCUUCUCUUGCCCUUCCUGAGACUGAGAAAAUGAAUCUGUACAAUACUUUAUAUCCUGAAAAUGAAGAAAUGAUGGCUCUCAGAUGUCCUCUUCUACUGAAUUAUCAUGAUACUUUGGCACAAAAACUGCACUUUCUAAAGGUACAAGAUGGUUUAGACCCAAUAAAGAUUGAAGCUGAAAUGAUGGCGAAGUUACCAUUGAUGGAUCUUCUUAAAUUUCCUCUACCACCACCUGGAAAUAAUACAAAACGCCUUGCCAGGAUCCAUGAGCUAAUGCACUAUUGUACCAGGGAACACAUGAACUGGGCUGAAGUUGAACGAGCUUUUAAAGUGUUUACAUUUGAAAGUCUGAAGCUGUCAAGUGUAGAUGACUCUGGACAAUUAGAAUGUCCUCACACAAUGCUUGGUGGUGAUUAUGAGGUGUCUUAUAUUCCAUGGGAUAAUCCUGCUAGGUUUGCUAAGCAACUGAGGCAAGACAUAACUGGAGAAAAGAUUUUAGAACAAAAUAUUUUGAACAGAUCAGAUUGGAUUUCUGAUAAAUACGGAAAUGGUCAAACAAAUUCUUUAGAAAACAAGGUAAAUCUGGAGGCAGAAUUAACAAUCAUACAAAAGACUCAGCAGCGAUGUUUGAAAGAAUGGAGUUUUGCAGAACAUUUUCAACCACAUCUGCUCUUCAAGGUUUUUUACGAUGCAACUCAGAAUUAUAGGUGCAUUGAUUCUUACUAUCACACUCAAGAUAAUUCUUUGCUGAUAGUUAUUCAUAAUCCCAUGAACCAGCGUUGUCAAUUCCGGGAGUCUUGGGAAGUUGCUUUGCAUUCUGAUGUUGGAUUCAGAAAUUACCUGGAAUUGGUGGCCAGUUCCAUUGAAGAGUGGGUAGUAAGGGAAGAAGCCAAAUAUCAGGAAUUAAAAAUGGCUAAGGAACUAGAAGCACUUAGGCUAGCUGCAGAGAUGGCAGAAAAGCCACCUGUUGAAAUUAAGUCUCCACCUCCUGGUAAAAAAGGUGCUGCCUCAAAGAAAUCCAAAAGUACUUCCAAAAGCAAAACUGAGGUAUCUCCAGAACCCCCAGUUAAGAAGGAAACUGAUAUAUUUGUUCGAAUUGAUUCUCUCAAGGCUUGGAAGGAAGAGCAGGAAAGGCUAUUAGAGGAAGAGCGUUUGAAAGAAUUAAAAAAAGCGGAGAAGAAAGAAAAACCCAGUGGCAAAAAAAAGGGCCAGGCUAAGGAGACAACUCCUGAUGAAGGAAAGGUAUCUAAAAAGAAACUUUCCAAGGAUAAAACUAAGUCACCAUCUAAAUCACCGGAGUCUGCUAAAUCACCAGAAACUGAAGAUCACACAAAGUCAUACAAACAAAGUAAAUUGAAUAUUCCUCCUCAGUUUCCAGAGAAAGACUAUGAGUUCCUUGGAUACAAUAUGUGUGAGAAUCCCAUUAUAGUUGCUGGUUGUAUUCGAUAUCUCUUUCCUACUGAUGGAGGGCAGAUCCAGGCAGAAACAAUAACAUUUGAAAAAGGGUCAACCUUAGUCAAAGUGAAGGUGAUAAAGGACAAUCACAUCUUCAUUGUUCAUAUCACAGACCCAAAGAAAAUCCACAAAGAAAGUAAAAAUAAAGAAGAAGGGUCUGGCUCUCCAGAAGAACAAGAGACAGAAACAGUAAAACAACCAGUAAAUCAAGAAGUGAGCAGAUUUGGAGCAUUUUCUGCAACUUUAGAAAACGACAUUCAUCUAUCCAUUAGCUGCUAUGGAGCUUCAGGAAAAGUAGCAGACAAAACAGAUCCUGAUUUAGCAGCAAUUUUGUCUAUUCCUUCUGUAAAUGUGCCUACUUCCACUUUUGUUACCUCGGCUGUGUCUGCUGGUACCGUUACCUCAGGAAAAGCCAAGCCUGGUAAAGAAAAAUCAGGCAAAUCAUUACAGUCUGCCAAACCAAGCUCUCGUCUCACAGUGACUGCAUCACCAGAAGAAUCUUUAAAACAAGAAGAGAAAAAGGUAGAAGCAGAUGAGCCAGUCCCCGUGCAAGGUGUUUCAGAUAUCCAUGUUUUCAAUACUUUGAAUGUGUCCUGUCCCAAUGGAUUGGCACUGACCUUUCUUGGUCAAAAAUUCACAGGUGAAGAAAAAGGAGACAAGGACAAGAAUGAUAAGCAAGAACACAAAAUAAAUGAUGGUAAAUUGGAAGACAUCAAGAAGGAUGGAGUCAAGAAACAAGAAUCCAAAUCAGAACAGGAUAAUGAGGCCACAGAAAACAAGGGCAAAGUGGAUGUCAACAAGGAAGAUGAAACCAAAGCCACUGUAUGUGCAGAAGGUAGCGUCAUAAAGAAUGAGGCCAGUGAAGAUAAAGCAGAAGGUGAAACUGAAGAAAACAAUGUGCACAAGACCAAAGAAUCUGUCUCUGAAAUACUUAUUAGACAAAGCUAUCCACAAAGAGUGAAACAUUCACAACUACUGAAAACAGUUAAGAAACCAGUAGAACAAGAAGUAUCCAGAGUUAUUACCAGACAAGGAACUGUUGUAAAGAGCAUGUUAGAUGGAUCCACUCAGAUACUGUUUGCUGAUGGCACUGUGAUUAGGAGUCCAGAUUCUGGGCCAGUAAUGCCACCUCCCCCUCCACCUAGUACACCACAUACAGAAGUUAUGCCAGAAGUUAUCACCACCACCACCACCAAGAAAACUAAGAAAAAUACCAAGAAUGCACUUGUUCCAAAAGUUGAAACACCUGAAACAGUUGUUCAAGAUCAUCUGUCAGAUACAGAACAAUCCCCUGAUGCCUUGGCAGGAACAUGGAUUACUACUACCCCAUUAGGCACUCAAAUAGGCACUAAAGGAUCUGAGAGACUUGAUCUGAAGCCCCUUUUGGCUUACCAGGCCACUGAUCCAGUUAAUGGAAUGGUAAUGACUAUGAGAGAAGACAGGGUAGUUGUGGUGGAGAAAAGAGAUGGUUCCAAAAUAGUAGAUCAUGCUGAUGGCACCAGAAUAACCACCUUCUUCCAAGAGUGUAUUGAAACUGUGGUAUCUAAUGAUAAUGAAGAAACAGAAAUGACCUCCCAGGACAUCAUAAGAAAAGUGAAGUGUAUGCGUAUAGAACACCCAGAUUUUGCAACUGUCAUAACAAAUUGUGAGGACAGCACCUGUUGUGCUAUUUUUGCUGAUGGUACCUCAAUUAUAUCAAACCCACAAGGAACAUACCAAAUAUUACCCAUGAACAAAGGCUGCCUCUUCAUUGAUAAAGAUUGUUCUGCAGUUUAUUCCCCUGAGGCAUUUGCAAAAAAUGAUUGUGAAUGUAUAUCCAGUGUUGAAGACAAACAAGUGGAGAAAUACAUUAUGAAGCAUAACUCCCACAUUGUCUGUGAAGUGAUGGAUCCUGCUGGGAACAUUUUCAAGGUCAUGGCUGAUGGCAGCACAUCUGAAUACAUUGCUUCCAUUGAUUCUGGUGUAAAAAAAUCAGAACCCAUGUAUACAGAGACUCCAGUCAUAUAUGGGGAGCAUGCACCCAGAUUCUUCAUUGUCUAUGCUGAUGGCUCAGGAACUGAACUGCUCCGUACGAAGGACAUGGAAGAAUAUUUGGCUAUGGCAUAUGGGGAUCCAGUUACAGUAGUUCUGCAAGAACCAAUACCAGAAUGCCCAGGAGUCUUAAGCAUUACUAUCCUCUGUCCUCUGACUGUGACAUCUCAAUGGGUAAUGAAGAGAGAUCCUACCACUGUUGUCCCUUAUAAUCUCCAGUCAAGAGCCUGGGAAAAAUUUCCUCCGGUUGAGAGAAAAACUCCAGGCCCUCCAUUUGGAACACAUGCUUGGAAAGGUCUAUGCAUAGAAUUCAAAGAGCUGGCAAAUUCUCCUGCACCUAUACUGAAAUGUCCAGAUGUACUUCAGAUUCAUCAAUUGAUCCAGUAUGAGCCAAUCACUGAUGAACUGAGACUCAAAUUGCAACUUUCUCUCAAGGAGUACAUUGAAAAAAUAAUGAAGCAGGAAGAAGAAAUUCAUGAAAUGACCAUCAAAGAUCCAAGAAUAGAAGAGGAAAAGGAACAUGCUGCAGAUCUCCUCAAGCUAGUUAUGUCUUUCCCCAGCCUUGAAGAACCUUCAGAUCUCUGUGCUAGAGCAGCUCAGAUUGCUGAAAUAUAUGAGCAGGCUGUGACUUCCCAAUCACAGCAUCCAUCAGGGGAGGCACUCGCAAGGAAAAGUGAGGAAUAUUGGCAGAAAUUACGCCAAGAAGAGGCAGCUCAGAUAUCCCCCUGGCAGAUCAAGUUAGAGCAAACCAGGCAGGAAAUCAUGGCCGGAAAGACAUGUCUUAUGAAUAUAAGGAGGAAAAUCAUCCCUUCUUAUUUCAAAUCUGAAUUUGGCAUGAACUUUCUGCUAAAAGAGCUUCCUGAAAUUGAACGCCUUUCAAAAAUGGUGCCUUCAUUCUCAAGAAAAGAAAAGAAGGAACCGUUUUUUAGCACAAUUACAGAAUCUACUGAAAUAAUUGAAUUCAGUUUAGAAUCUCAAGACCGGUCUACCAGGAGCAACCAGCCAAACUCAUUGCUUACUUCAUCGUGUGUUCACCAAGAUAGUUCAACAACAGAAGCAGAAGUUACUGAAAAAGGAUUAGAGAGCAUUAUCCAGCCAAAACAAUUUAUUCGGGUGUAUGCUCAAGAAUCCCCAAGGAAGGAGAAGGUGAAAUUACCCCUAUUCAUACAGACAGGCAAGCCACAAUCUAUACCCAAGCAAAAAGGUGAAGAUCCUGUUUCUGGCAGAGUGCGUACAUGCUCUGUUGCAGCAGCUUCCCAGCAAGUGUCAGGUUUCCUUCUCAUCCCACCUAAAGUCAGCUUUGGGGUUCUCAAGGAGGGCUGCACUUACGUAGCCUCGGUUGCCUUGAAGAACAUUGGAAUAGACUACUGCAGAUUUCGAGUGAAACAACCACCACCGUGUACUGGAUUGCGAGUGAGCUACAUCCCAGGGCCUGUAGCUGCUGGUUUGCACACAGAACUGGAAAUUGAGAUUUUUGCUAUGGUUAUUGGAGCGGAAGGAGAUCAGGGCUCUGGAGAAAUUUUUCAUCGGAUUGAGAUUUGCACAGAAAAUGAAACACUCUUUCUGCCCGUGGAAGCAACAGUUCUGAAAUGUGAUGCUUAUGAACACAGACCACCAAACUAUCCUCAGACAGGAAAGGCCUCCACCAUCCGCCUGGUUUCAGGAAAUCCAAUAUCUCCUUUUAGGUCUAUGCUACGUCACAAGAUUCCUGGUUAAUGGAACCGCAUCUUGAGGCUUCUAGAAACUCUCUCACAAGCAAGAGCAAGGAGCAAGAAAUAUUACUUACCACCGGCUGGUUUUCCUUGGCUACAUUGUCUUCAUACUCCAGUUCUCUUUCCUGCAGAUGAAUUUAUCAAUGCUUCAGAAUUAGCAAACACGGUUCAGAACACUCCAUUUCCUUGACCAGUUCCUCCUUGUUUGUGCCUAACAAGAAGAAAUUCAUUAUGUUCUGUGGCACUGAACUUGAUCUGCAGAGCUCAAACUACUCUCAAGAAUUUUUUUAACUUUCAUUUCUAAAUUGUCAUUGAAGACCUUCAGUCAGACUUGUGAUGCUACAGAGAGGGCAAGACGCUGUCAUUUCCUUUCUAUUUUCCACAUUUUUCCUAGUCACUUCUGAAGAGAGUAAAAUGAAGUUUUAUUCCAAGGGAGAAAAAAUCCUCACCUGUUUUGGAUACUGUUCUCAUCUUUCACCAGCUGAAAUUCCCAGAACUUGACACAUUUAUCUGCACCUCCUGUUGCGAAACCACACUGAAGGAGAACCAAUUAAAUUUAAUUAAAAGAAUGUUCUGCAGAUAAAAAUCAUUUCCUUCCACAGAAACACAAAUAAGAUCACACAUAAAAUCUGCCUCUCAUACAAGACCAUACCAGACAGACAUCCUUAAUGUCUCCUCCUGUUUUCCUAAUCACACCAACCAGCCUGUGACAUGGGCCAUGCUGGUGGCUCACUGCCUUGAGUGACAUCAGAUGGAGUGCCAGUGUGACAAGGAAGGAGGGCAGAAAUGAAGAUGUGCCCUCUUCCUAGACAACGAGUGCACAGAUGUGAGGCAGGGAGGAAUCCUUUUUAAUCUCACCGCUGCCACCAAUUUGUAAAGAUGUGGGGUAGAGGAGGAAUCCUUUUGAUCACUUAUGUUAUUAUAUAUUUAACUAUCUUCGCUGCCACCAAUUUAAAUAUGCUUUAUUCAGCUCUGGCCACCAAUUGUGGAGAUGUCAGGCAGAGGAUACUUAUUCUUUUUAAGCUUUCUUUAUUUAUUUCACUUUUGAUGGUGAUGUUGCUUAGCUUAGAAUAUGAGUGUGACAGAGACUUAGAUGGUUUAAAGAACAAAAACAAGUUUAUUCAGGUACAGAGCUUAGUGGUUCAAUAACUUCUUAAAGGCACUUAAAUAACUGUUACAGAUAGAUGUUGAGGUGUUCCAACUCCAAAAUACUUUCUUCUCACAGAACCAAACUAUAAACUGAUCACUUGGAUCUACUGGGAUCAAUUCCCCUUACUCCACAGCCUCUACAAAUAACCCUAAACAAGUCACCCAACUUGCUUAGUCUGGCCUAUUAGAGGUCUGUCUCCCAGUUUCCCUAAUCUGGAACCAGUCUUUCUUCUGUGACUAAGAAUCACAGACUACCUAAAAUAAGUCACCUUAUUUCAGAAUUGACUCAAAUUCCCUCAUUUGAGCCACCCUGAUCCUCCACUUGAGAAUCAGUCCUCACUGUAAUUUCACCAUUACAGACUCUCACUGACUAACUGGGUUUUUAAAACGUUUCCUCCUUUUUUCCUUCAAACAGCGAUUGGCUCCGCCCCUGUUGCUAGGGUAACCUGCCUUAGAAUGCUAAGAUGGUUACCUUCCUCUACAUAUUAUCAACUCCAAUACUCACCCAUUUUAAACAUAGCCAAACAUGACUUCUAAAACAAAAUCAAACAAACAUGUCAUCCAUAAAUUAAAACAUCACACUUCUUUACAACGAGCAACCAGCACAAGCCAUAUUUUGCCUGCUGACCAUCACUACAAGGACAGAACAACCCCAAGGAACCUGGGAUUGUCAUAUAAGCAGGCCACAUACAUGGGCUCACAGUUGCAGUGUGAUCUGGAUUCUAGGUGAGAACUCAAGGUCACUUUAAUCUGCUUUCACCCAUGUUAACCCAAAUCAGCUGCCACAAAGCUAGUCUACUGGCUAUUUGUGCUACAUGGUCAGUGUAAAUAUGCCCCUUGAGAAACAUUUGACCAUAAGGCAGGUUGAUUUUUUUUUAUAACUGCUCAAAGAGAUAUUCAAAUAAAUAGAUAGAAAGUGGGUAUGACAUACCUGAUCUGGCGAAAGAACUAUGGACCAGAGCGCCCCAUCAUGGGCAUCAAUGCUCUCCAAUAUAUUCCCAGAAGCCAAAUCAAACAUCUGUAGCUUCCCAGUCUAAAGAAAUUAUAAAGUUGAAAGAUUAGCUUCAGAGAGUAUUUAAAAUUUUAGAAAUGAGACAUUCAGUGCUUGAAACGGGAGGAAAGAGCAAGUGGAAUGCUUAGAUAUUUAGGAAAAAAUUAGUUAUGUCUAUCCAAAAGGAAACUGGAUGGCAUCUCAUCCUCAGUGUCAACCACAACAUUUUGUAUAUGUAUUUUGUAUAUAUAUUAGGGUAGGCAACCUGUUGCCCUCAGGGUAAUUUCAGAGGUCCAGGGAAAGGUUUUUUUGCCUCCCUGGGAAGUUCAUUGAAAGACAAUCUGACUAUGAGCAAGAAUCUAUGAACAGUGUAAGUGGCAAAAACCGUCAACUUUAAUAACAAAAUCAUAGGAUUGGAAAUGGCCUCAAGGUCAACUCAGAAUGUCCAUGUCAAGGACAGAACGCCACAAGAUUCAAGAUAACAGAGUUUAUUGGAUUACAGAACUCAAAAAUGCCCGUAAAAUACAAGGGCCAGGCAGUAUUAGCCUUUAGGAGCAAAAAGGGACAAGGAAAAACGUUCAAAAGAUAAACCGGAUUAAACCGGAGUUUAAUCCGGGUAAAAACAAACUGCUUGCUUCAGCCUGGGGAUAAACAAAACAAAAGCCGAGGAACAAAAGAUACAAAAGAAUGCAACUAAUUGGCAGCAGAUUCCUCUCUGCUGCCAACACUGUGCUUAGAGUAACUUGCGUCGCUCCCACACACACAGCAGACAGGAUUUCCAACACGAACAGAUCAGCCAAGGAUUGUAGCAGUAGAGUAGAUCCAGUUCCUUUCCGUAGAUCAAAGCCAGAAGCAGACGUUUGUAGUUUCCAAGUCCAAGAAGGGGGAAGUCAAGCCGUGGUCAGUUCAGUCCGAAUUUCAAAGCAGGAGAUGGCGUCCGUCAAGAAGACGACGGAAGGUCAAGGUAUCAGCACACGAAAACACACCAGUCUUCAGGAAAGCGUCCCACACAGAUCCCAAGCGUUCGUCCAGAUUACCUUGCCCAACGCAAUUUGCAAUUGCUCCCAAGCCCCAUUUUAUGCCAGUUACAAAUCCUCAUCACUGUCAGCUGUCCUCCUUAACCCGGGCGUUUCCUCAUCACUUUCCUCAUCAGAGCUGGAACACCUCUGACUACGCCCCACAGCAUCUCCAGCUGUGGAUCCCGUCCCAUCCCUCCAGCUAGACCAUGGGUCUAAUCCUGAAGGUCCCCAUUCAUCUUCUAUCCCAUCAUGGCCAGUGGCACCCAAUUCCUCCCUCACCCGAGUCCAAUCCAUCUCAUCCUCCUCCGAGCUAACCAGCCCCUCCUCCAUUCUCUCCGUAAACCCCUCAAAAGACUCUUCGUCAGAUGGUGCUGCAAAAAUGUCUCGCAGUCUUUUUCUUUCUCGCUCCUCGAGAGUAUCUGACUCUCGAGGAGUCUUACGCCCACGUCUGUCAGUAACAGAGCCAUGAGGCUCAAUCAUAACAGUCCAAGAUUUUGAACAGAAAGAAAAAAGUAUCAGAAAUAUCAAUCUAUCCUUAGGGAAUUCUUUCAUGGGAGUAUAAGUGAAGCAGUCACGAUCGUCUUCAUUUAUGUGAACUGAAAAACAUUGUAAUCACAUCCUGAAUUGAAGGAAACAGAAAGGAAAUCAUCCUGAGAAAAUCCUGUGGCUCUAUAGGUGCGAGUAUUAUUCGAAGGCUAGAACUGAAUAAAUAACACUAUGAAACAAAAUUUGAAAAAGUUUCUUCUUUGUUUGAAAGUGUUAUUUCCUGUUUAACUGUGCAGUGCUUUCUUUGAAAGUAGUUGCUAUGCUCCAGAAACUUUGUUUUUAUGGCUGCCACAAACUAUGUUGAACUGGUUGAGAUAUUCAUUGAAAACUACAGCAAAAUGUGCUGCAGGAUGUCUCACAAAAACAAAGUUUUUAACAAAUUUAACAAAUUUUUCCAUGUUUUUAUGAUAGAAUCAAUUAGGAAAUGAUAUUUAUAACCUAGGAACAAAAAUCGUGUUACUUAGUGCUAUUUCACCAGAUUAUUUUUUGUAUUGGAGUCUUGUUUUGGUUUUUUAUUUCAAUGUCUGUGUUGAAAAAUUUUGCUGUGAAAAUCUAGUAAAAACUAAGAAAAAUAUGUCACAAGAACUCAAAAAGAACCAAGUACUGAUAUCACACCAGUUUGAAGAACUCUUCAAGCAACAGAACAUAAACAGAAAGUACAUGAAAAUGUGAAUUAGAUGAGGGCAGUUUUCCUUGACACCGGAAAAGACAUUCAACAAAUAUUCAGCAAUAACAGAAGGAAUGGGAACUUGCCUUGGUUCCUACAAUAACCUGUCGGUCUCCUGGGACAAAGAGUGAGCAAAGUGCAUAUUCACACACCAUGGUCCGUAUGCACUGCAAGGUAGCCCUAUGUACAAAAUAACACAACUAUUUUAGAGGCAGGCAAUCACAAACUUCCUCUAAAUAAAUAUUGCCAAGAAAACCCUAUAAGAGCAAAUGAGAGUUGACUUGAUGACACAUCAUAACAACAGCAAUAACAACAAAUUCCUAUUUUACAUAUAAUAAGAUACAAUAAUGCCAAUACAAAUGACAGAAAAAACAUACCAAUGUGGAACUUCAAUUCUAUGAGAGAAUGGAAGAUCUGUUGCUUUACCAUACAUUUUAAUGCAAAUGAUAAAAAAAAGUGUCUUACUUUUGAAUUAGUUUCUCUGACUCACCAAAAGACACAAGCAAUGCAAAUAAAUUAAAUCCUCUUCUUAAUGAGGGAGGAAAACCUUACUCAGCUGAAGGUACCAAAUGUCAAUUUGUGGAAUGAAUAUGGUAUACAGUACACAAAGCUGCACCCUACUGGCAAAGAAAAUCACUUGCAUAGAAACAGCAAUAAAUAGCUCAAGAAAAAUUCUGAAACCCUAAAGCUUUCUUUACAUAUGUAACAGACUGCCAUUAUAUACUUCUCGCUGCUGGACAGACUCGAUGAUUAAUUCAAUCCACAAUCAUUCCCAACCAGAGACUCCAAGGAAGAAAGAUCUGGCGUAAAACAAAAACACAAGGCUUUCAAGAACCUUCUAAAUGAGCCCUUCUCCAAACACUCAAGGAUCAUCUACCUAUGAAAUGCCCUAAAAAAGUUGAGGAACAAUGGAAUUAAAAAACAAUAAAGCCAGCAGACAUGAUGGGAUCUCUACCGACUUCUUUAAAGAAGACAGGCCUUAACCAGCACAACAACUCCACUAGCUCACUGAAAAAGUGUGGCUUUAAGGAUGCCAUUAUUGUCACAAUUUUCAAAAAAGGACUCUCUUGCCCUCCCUCUCCCCCCCGACUCAUUCCCAUACGGUUCCCAACUAGCCUCAUUCAUGAGGCCUUCAAAACCUCCCUUCAGUUUUGAAAGCCUUAUGAGUGAGGGUAGUUGGGAAUCAUGCAAGGUGGCAAGUUCACCUGUUUCAGCCUGAUGGAGGGGUGCGACUCCCAAAUGGUAUCAUUGAUAUUGCCUGCCGUACUAUAACAGCACUGUUGGGUGCGUGACAUUCAAAACUCCAUUUUUUGUCAUGUGCACCUCCAAAACUGAGGCACACAUUACAUUCGAUGGUGUGUUAUACUUUAGUGAAUAUGUAAUUUAGAUUCAGGAAAGAAAGCAUUGUAUCGUUAGCUUAGCUAUCUGAAUGUUCCAAGUUUUUGACUUAACCUAUGGCUAUUCACAAAUUCCAUAAUGAUAUCAAGAGAUCAAUGGUAGAAAAGGGUCUCUUUGCAGAUUCAGUACUGGACAAAUGCAAAGUUGUUUAGCAUUUAUUGUGUGCCUACAGCUUUUCUACAAUGUUUCUAUAUUUCAUACCUAUUCCAUAUCUUAACCGAUUCAGCAGCUGCAGAAAGAACUGCAAUGUUGUCAGAGCUAAAUGCCAGUGUUCUGACGUCACUGCGGUGACCUCCAAUAGAUAUCUUGGACAUCUGCACAACUCUGGCUGUCUGUACUGACGGAUCCAAGGUGUAGGAUUCAAUCAUGUUGUUCUGGAGCAUUACAGUGGCUUUCAGCUCUCCUUUUCGACUGAGUAUCAAGUCAAAAGAUCUAUUUCAAUAUAAUAUUAAUUAGUUAGAAAAACAUUGUCAUGUAAAAGGGUUGAAAAGACUGUGAACAAUGGCACCUAAACAAAAAUACUCCAUAACUUGAAAGAGAUGGAGCAGGGAAAUAAAUACACCCAAAUAAGUUACUGUAUCUGUAAGUUGAAGUCUAGGUUCAACUUUAUUUCCUUUGAGACAGCCAUUCCUCUUUGAAAAAGGCAGGAAGAUGAUAAACUGGAGAUUCCUGUACUCCAUGAGAUUUCUGAUUUUGAGUAAUUAGAAAUUCCCAGCACUGCUCAGAAAAGGGAAGCUCUUCAGAGCCAGAUCCUUUCUCUUCUAGAUUCAGUAUUGUUUUCUACCAAGAUGGUAGGAGUAGCCCAACAUAUUUGCUUAUAUUAUUAGCGUAAAGUGAAAAACCAGAUGCAUUGUCCCCUUUCUUCUGCUCUUCUGCAUUUUAGGGUCACCCAAUAAGAAACAGGAAAAUUAAUGAGGUGCCAUCAAAAUCAGGAUAAGGCAGGAACUGUACAACAUUGCAUCUCAUUCUCUCCCACUGAACAUCUCAUCAAUUGACAUUUUCCAGUGCUCCUUAAUGGUCAAAAGGGGCUACUUGUGAAACAUUGGUACUGGAAAAGCGCACUUUCUAUGAAGAUAGUAUAAAAUAAAUUUGGCUUUCACUUUUGAAACAAUUUAAAGAGAAACAAAUAAUUUAAUAAGAAAAACAGAUAAUGCAGUUAUAAUAGCUCAUCUCUUUCCCAUGGGCUCAAAAUUCACUUUCAUUUAACAUGCUUACAAUGUUUACAUUGUACUUGCCUCUUUGUUUACAUAUUCUAUAAAGUACCAUGUACAUGGAUAGCAUGUACAGUACUUUUAAAAGAACCAGUAAGAUCUAAAUUUUAAUAUUACAAGUCGACACUUUCUGCUCACUUGAUUUUAGAAGAGGCUUUGAUGUUAAUGAGACGCUGAAUCUUUUCUUGAAGACCACACUCUAUACUUGCAUCAAGCUGCUCCUCUUCCAGUUUUGAUGCUUGUCUAUGUCAAAAAGAGGGGAGAAAAUCUAAAUUAAAACACUGAAAUCCAAAUCUUAAUUUGACUCAGAAUUUGACAAUACAAACAAGGUAAACAAAUGUCUGAAUCUCAAGUCAAAUUCUGCUCUGCUGUCUGUAAAAACUGUCAUCUAGUUGCUGUAAGCCCCUUCUAAAAGCAUGUUCCAAUACACAUGAUAUCUUCUCACCUCUGCUAUAAAUUCCAAUGCCACUAGUUUUCAAAGAAGUAGCCAUAUUUGUAUCUUGCAGCAUAAAAAGGAGAGUAGGAGGAGGAUAGAAGGGGUGGGGAGAAAAGAAAUAUGGUAGCACUUUAGCCUUAACUUGUUUUUAUUUCUGCACAGUACCAAGUGAUAUUAAGGUCUUAGAUAGAAAUCAUACUUAUACCGUUGUGGGAAUGGAAUAGAAUGUAGUAAGAUUCAGAAGUUUAGAGCAAAGAUCAUGAUUUGCAUCUUUCUGGAUGCUAUACCUGAGGCCUUAGUACUACUCUAUACUGUGUCCAAAAGGUGAGUUAAAACCCACAAAGGUUCAUACAAAAACAGAUUGUUUUCCCCUUCCUUCCUUCUUCUAAUGCCACUCCACCAUUUUCUGCUUUGUCCAAGGUACAUGUUCUAUUAAGAAGCCAGCAGAAAUUAGAGCGCUGAGACUCCAUAAAAUGUUUUUAUCAAUUCUAUUAUAUAGAAGUAAUGAGCCUCCUAUGCAGUUAUUACUGGGUAUAAUUUAUUCCAACUGAUAUUGGCCACCAACAUAGAGUAUGAAUUUAAAAUUCUCUGCUUACACUCUAUUAUGGAUUAAGUAUUUUAUCUGUUGUCAGUACAUAGAAAUGAAAUGCAUUGUCAGGGUGGUAGGGCGAUUUGAGAACUGGACUGCAACUCUGGAGGCUAAAGUUUGGAUACCCACUCAGCCAUAAAAACUAGGUGACAUUAGACAAGUUACAGCCUCAGGAAAAAACAAAAGUCAAGAAAACUCAAUGACAAGGUUGCCUUGGGGACAUCACAGGUCAGAAAUGACUUGAAUUUACUUGGCCUUUUUUCUUGCUUUCUUCAUCUUCUUCUCUAUUUUCUUGUCAAUCUCUUCCUUGCUAAGGACAUAGAAUAUUUCCAAAGUAGAAUCUGUUCCCUUAGAAAAGAAGAGACAAAGUUGCAGAAAUCUCUGAAUUAGAAAAAAUCUAGCCAAGUGCCUAAGUCUCACAUGAGCUCCAAAAACCAGUAACUUACAUGACAAGCAAGAAUCCUCUUUGUCUGGUCUGUGGCAAGACUAACAACUCUGUCCCUUCCUUCACGCAUGAUGGAACCAACUUUGCUGCAACUUAGAAUGUCCUAAAAAAGAGGGGGGGGGGAGCAAAGGGAAAUACAAAUAUAAAAUGAACAUUUUCAACAAAACCAUCAAAAACGUUUAAGAGACAAGAAGGUCCUAUCUUUUUAGGUUAUAAGCUAGAGGCAUCCACUACAGCAGAUAAUUAUUUUGGGGGACAACAAACUUUGUGGCUCCUGGCAUCUUUCCAAAGAUUGGGUCACCCUAACUUUCAGUCAUCAUUUGGCCAGUAUCCACCAUCAAAAAGAGAAGAGAAAGAACAUGGAUGCCAUGUUGUUUGGAAGCCUGUUUAAUAAUAAUAACAACAACAACAACAACAACUACUACUACUACUACUUUAUUUUUAUAACCCGACCCAUCUCCCCGGAGGGACUCGGAGCGGCUUACAUGGGGCCAUGCCCGACAUAAAAGUACUAAGUUAAUAGCUGUUUAGGAUUCUGCCACUUGAAUAAAUAGGAGUUGACUUUUUGAAAAAUAAGAAUUAUAUGUUACCAGAAAGCAGGAGGGAUAGAGACGGCCUUAGGAUAUUAGAAAUGCUUUGGUGGUGCAUGGCCAAAAAAUGGUUGGGAAUCACUGAUUUAAACCAAAACAAAUCCUCGUGUUCUUCAGAUUGUAAAUUUCCAAUUAAGGUUCUUGCUAAUUAGGUAAAGGUCUUCUCCUGACAUUAAGUUGUGUCUGACCCUGUGGGUUGGUGCUCAUCUCCAUAUCUAAGCUGAAGAACCGGCUUUGUCUGCAGACGCCUCCUAGGUCAUGUGGCUGGCAUGACUGCAUAGAGUGCUGUUACCUUCCUGCAAAACAGUAUCUAUUGAUCUACUCACAUUUGCAUGUUUUCAAACUGCUAGGUUGGCAGAAGUUGGGGCUAAUAGCAGGAGCUCAUCCCGCUCCCCGGAUUCAAACUACCAUCCUUUUGGUCCAAGUUCAGCAGCUCAGCUUUAGCCCCCUGUGCCACCGAGAUUAAUUAAAUUAUAUCAAAUCAUCCUUUGUUCAGAGAAGUAAUCAUCUGAUAGAGCUUCCCAUAGUAUUCCAAUUAAUUACAAAACUUGAAAGUAGCUUUAAAAGAAAGAAAAAAUCAAGCAUCUUUGCCAGUGGCUUUUUUCCCUCCCCAAAGUUCACAGGGCCCCUUUCCAGCUCACUAUAAUCUUAUAUGCUACAGAGUUCAGGAUGAGCAAAAUAAUGAUCAUUUGACCCUCUUUCCUUUCUUUGUGCCUCUCAUGCCAGAAUCCCUCAUUCCCCUUCUACCCAGAGCAAGUUCUAGUCGGUCUUGGAGCCCUAAGACCAGCAAAAAGCCAUAUUUCACUCAGCAGAGCUCCAAAGUUUCUCGCUUCUGAUCUGAAGUCCUCCAAGGCACUCUUCUACUAUCCUAAUUACAAUAGCAAAAAGUAGAGCAGGCUGAGAAAAGUGCCUGAAGCUAUGGGCCCAGCUACUACGGCAAAUCAGCAUUAUAAAAUAAUUUUAUUCACUUGACAUGUUUAUUUUACCUAUCGGAGAAAAAUUGUAAAGCUCAAAGAGGGAAUGCACCAGGCAAGAAUGAGACAGACUUUCACUAAAAAAGUGCUCCUCAAAGAUGUGGACUAGUUAUACCUAUUGUGUUGAGUGGGAGAAACAAUCCAUCACUGAAUGUUCAGCCUUUUACUGUUGGAAAAAGAUACCUGUUCCAGGAUCUCAUCGUUAUCUACUGUCUUAUCCUCUUCAGUGAGGUCUUUCAUCCUCUCUGCAGACUCUUUGCUUCUUUUAUAUAAAGGCUCACUUGGAUCUUGAUCCUAUUUAAUCAAAACAGUCAAUUAAACAUAGAAUGAAGACUGGGACAUACUUUCUAACGCCUAUCUGUGUAAUCAACAUUUUUGCAUUUGUUUACACCUUAACAGGACAAAAUACUAUCAUAUGUGUUAUGGUUGAGCCUUAUGGCUCCGAUACUGGGAGACGAGGUCGUAAGACUCCUCGGGAGUCAGACUCUCUUGAGGAGCGAGAAAGGAAACGGCUCCGGGACUUAUUUGCAGAACCAACAGACGAAGACUCCUUUGAGGGUUUUACCGAGAAAAUGAGGAAGAGAUGGUUAGCUCAGAGGAGGAUGACAUGGAAUGGACGCGUGUGAGGGAGGACUUGGGUGUCACCGGCAAUGAUAGUGUGGGAGGCGAUUGGCGGGUUGCAGGAUCGGACCCGUGGACGGGCUGGAGGGAUGGAACGGGGUCCACAGCUGGGGAUGCUGUGGGGCGUAGUCAAAGGUGUUUUAGCUCUGAUGAGGAUGAUGAUGAGGAGGCACCUGGAAUUAGGAUAGCAGCUGACAGCGAUGAGGAGUUAUGAACUGGCAUAAAAUGGGGUCUAGAAUCAAUGGCUAAUUGCGUUGGGCAAGGUAAUCUGGACGAACGCUUGGGCUCUUGUUGGGAAAUUCCUGAAGACGGGUGUGAUUCGUUUGCUGAAUACCUUGGACCUCCGUCGUCUUUUUGACGGACAUUAAUUGCCUACUCUGGAUUGACGCUGGACUGACUGACUGACUACGAUCCCGGACUUCCCUUCUGUGGCUAUCGGUGGAACUUGUGAACUAAAGACAUCUGUACCUGGCUUUCGACCUCGGACCGGAUUGGGACCCUGCUGACCGUUACUACCCUGAUUGAUGUGCCUGGAUCCGGAUUUCGCUCGUUGCACGGAGGAGUAACAACCUUAGUUACUCAAUUGUAGCUUUUAAGUAGCAGAGAGGAAUCUGCUGCCAGUUAUUUGUGUUUCAUUGAACCUUUGUUUAUCAGCUUUUGUUUGUUAAAAUUGCCAGGCUGAAGUAAGCAUUUUUGGUUUAACCCGGAUUAAACUUCUGUUUAAUCCGGUUUAUCUUUUGAACCAUUUUUAGUACCAGCGGAGUCUUUCUUGUAUCUUUUCACAUUGAAGGCAAGUGUUUGCCUAGUCCUUUGUUUAUUACGGGCAUUUUUAGUGCUGUUACUUUAAUAAACUGUGUUGAACUUUA